UGUGUAAGCGUUGAAGGGCACACGGUGGAUGCCUUGGCAUCAGGAAGCCGAUGAAGGACGUGGGAGGCUGCGAUAAGCCUGGGGGAGUUGUCAACCGAGCUGUGAUCCCAGGAUGUCCGAAUGGGGAAACCCGGCCGGAGUGAUGUCCGGUCACCGCUGUCUGAACACAUAGGGCAGUCGGAGGGAACGCGGGGAAGUGAAACAUCUCAGUACCCGCAGGAGAAGAAAGCAACCGCGAUUCCCCGAGUAGUGGCGAGCGAAACGGGACAGAGGCUAAACCGGAUGCGUGUGCAGAGCCGGCAGGCGUUGCGCAUCCGGGGUCGUGGGACCGCCCGGGCCGGGGCUGCCGCCUCGGCGGGGAAGAGCGCACAGUGAGCCGAACGUGUUGGAAGGCGCGGGCGUAGUGGGUGAGACCCCCGUAGGUGAACGUUGUGUGUGCUCCCUGUGGUGUGUUCCCGAGUAGCACGGGGUCCGUGGAUUCCCGUGUGAAUUGGCCAGGACCACCUGGUAAGCCUGAAUACUCCUGGUGACCGAUAGCGGAGAGUACCGUGAGGGAAUGGUGAAAAGUACCCCGGGAGGGGAGUGAAAGAGUUCCUGAAACCGUGUGCCUACAAACCGUCAGAGCAUGCUCUUUGCGGGUGUGUGAUGGCGUGCCUUUUGAAGAAUGAGCCCGCGAGUUAGUGGUGCGUGGCGAGGUUAACCCGUGUGGGGAAGCCGGAGCGAAAGCGAGUCCGAACAGGGCGGCCAGUCGCGUGCUCUAGACCCGAAACCGAGUGAGCUACCCAUGGCCAGGGCGAAGCUCGGGUAAUACCGAGUGGAGGCCCGAACCCACCAGGGUUGAAAACCUGGGGGAUGAGCUGUGGGUAGGGGUGAAAGGCCAAUCAAACUCGGAGAUAGCUGGUUCUCCCCGAAAUGCAUAGAGGUGCAGCGUCGCGUGAUGCAUCCCGCAGGUAGAGCUACUGGAUGGCUGAUGGCCCUUGUGGGGUACUGAAGUCAACCAAACUCCGAAUGGUGGGGUGUGGCCAGCGCGGCAGUGAGUCGACGGGGGAAAAGCUCCGUUGUCGAGAGGGAAACAGCCCAGAACACCGGCUAAGGCCCCCAAGUGUGUGCUAAGUGGGAAAGGAUGUGGGACUGCCCGGACAACCAGGAGGUUGGCUUAGAAGCAGCCAUCCUUGAAAGAGUGCGUAAUAGCUCACUGGUCGAGUGGUCCUGCGCCGAUAAUGUAGCGGGGCUGAAGUGCACCGCCGAAGCCGUGUCGCCGCAGCGCCCUGUGGGGUGUUGUGGUGGGUAGGGGAGCAUCGUGUCGGGCGGUGAAGCAGUCGUGGAAACGGGUGUGGAGUCGACACGAGAGAGAAUGCGGGCAUGAGUAGUGCAAGCAGAGUGAGAAUCUCUGCCGCCGCAAGACCAAGGGUUCCAGGGCCAGGUUGAUCCGCCCUGGGUGAGUCGGAUCCUAAGGCGAGGCCGACAGGCGUAGUCGAUGGGCAACGGGUUGAUAUUCCCGUACCCGCCGGCAUGCGUCCCAUACCGGCGCUGGUGGUGUUCGGUCAUCGGUACUGGUGUCUGUUCCGUUCGCGGGGCGGGUGCCGGGCUCAUGGCCGAAGAUGCCGGCUGUCCGGUCAGCGAGGGGGUGACGCAGGAGGGUAGCCCAGCCCAGGCGAUGGUUGUCCUGGGGUAAGGGUGUAGGGCGGUGUGCAGGCAAAUCCGCACACCUUGUGCCUGAGACCCGAGGCCGAGCCACAGAGGCGAAGUGGGUGAUCCCAUGCUGCCGAGAAAAGCCUCUAGCGAGCAUGCCGGUGGUCCGUACCCGAAACCGACACAGGUGGUCUGGUAGAGCAUACCGAGGCGAGCGGGAGAACCGUGGUCAAGGAACUCGGCAAACUGUCCCCGUAACUUCGGAAGAAGGGGAGCCACGGCUGGUGAACACCCCUGCGGUGGGAGCUGGUGGUGGCCGCAGAGAGUGGGCCCGAGCGACUGUUUACUAAAAACACAGGUCCGUGCGAAGUCGCAAGACGAGGUAUACGGACUGACGCCUGCCCGGUGCCGGAACGUUAACAGGACUCGUUACCCACCUGGUGGGGAAGCGGGAAAUGGAAGCGCCGGUAAACGGCGGUGGUAACUAUAACCAUCCUAAGGUAGCGAAAUUCCUUGUCGGGUAAGUUCCGACCUGCACGAAUGGCGUAACGACUUGGGCGCUGUCUCGACCACGGACCCGACGAAAUUGCACGACGAGUUAAGAUGCUCGUUUCGCGCGGCAGGACGGAAAGACCCCGGGACCUUUACUGCAGCUUGGCAUGGGUGUCUGGUUCGGCUUGUGUAGGAUAGGUGGGAGACGCAGAAGCGGACACGCCAGUGUUCGUGGAGUCGCUGGUGAAAUACCACUCUGGUCGUUGCGGGCGUCUAACCUCGGUCCGUGAUCCGGACCAGGGACAGUGCCUGGUGGGCAGUUUAACUGGGGCGGUUGCCUCCCAAACGGUAACGGAGGCGCCCAACGGUCUCCUCAGCCUGGUUGGAAACCAGGUGUUCGAGUGCAAGGGCACAAGGAGGCUUGACUGUGAGACUGACGGGUCGAGCAGGUGCGAAAGCAGGGCCUAGUGAUCCGGCACUGGCUGGUGGAAGCGGUGUCGCUCAACGGAUAAAAGGUACCCCGGGGAUAACAGGCUUAUCCUGCCCAAGAGUCCAUAUCGACGGCAGGGUUUGGCACCUCGAUGUCGGCUCGUCGCAUCCUGGGGCUGUAGUCGGUCCCAAGGGUUGGGCUGUUCGCCCAUUAAAGCGGCACGCGAGCUGGGUUUAGAACGUCGUGAGACAGUUCGGUCCCUAUCCGCCGCGCGCGCACGGAGACCUGAGAAGGGCUGUCCCCAGUACGAGAGGACCGGGACGGACGAACCUCUGGUGUGCCAGUUGUCCCGCCAGGGGCACGGCUGGUUGGCUACGUUCGGCACAGAUAACCGCUGAAAGCAUCUAAGCGGGAAGCUGGCUUCGAGAUGAGGUCUCCCCUCCGACCUUCGGGUCGGGUAAGGCCCCCACACGAUGAGUGGGUUGAUAGGCCCGACAUGCACGCACAGCAAUGUGUUCAGUCGACGGGUACUAACCGGCCGAGCGGCUUACCCA
rnacentral:rRNA from 1 species